GCGUUUGUUUUCCCGUUUUGCUCCCUUCUCCCCCUAGCGGCCUGGAGCGGUACUGUUUUCGGAGGUUGCUGCGGUUCCAGCCAAUAGAUCGCUGGAGGGCGGACCCCACACACACCUGCGCCUCAUUCCUCAUCUCAUCAACUCCUGCAUUUAAACGCCGGCUUUUCUCUCACUCGUCGCCAGAUUGUCUGCUUGCCAUACGACCUUCCCCCCCGUUCCUGCGUUCCUGCCGUUCCUGGUUCUCCUGUGUUCCUGCCGUUCCUGGUUCUCCUGUAUUCCUGCCGUUCUUGGUUCUCCUGCGUUCCUGCCGUUCCUGGUUCUCCUGUGUUCCUGCCGUUCCUGGUUCUCCUGUAUUCCUGCCGUUCUUGGUUCUCCUGCGUUCCUGCCAUUCCUGGUUCUCCUGCCAUUCCUGGUCAUCCUGCAUUCCGGUUCAUCACUCCUGGUCAUCAGUCCGCCCUGCAGUUCCCCGGCGCUUCCAGUACCGCUCCUGCCGCUCCCCUCUCGUUUUCUGUUAUCUUUUUGGUUGUUUGUUUUGGUCGUUUAUUUAUUAUUUGUUUAAAUAAAUAUCGUAUUAUCA